rnacentral:rRNA from 1 species
GCUUGUCUCAAAGAUUAAGCCAUGCAUGUCUAAGUAUAAGCGACUAUACUGUGAAACUGCGAAUGGCUCAUUAAAUCAGUUAUGGUUUAUUUGAUGGUACCUACUACUUGGAUAACCGUAGUAAUUCUAGAGCUAAUACAUGCAGGAAGACCCGACUUCGGAAGGGUUGUAUUUAUUAGAUAAGAAACCAAUCCAGCUUGCUGGUUGCGUGCCGAGUCACAAUAACUGCUCGAAUCGCAUGGCUUUACGCCGGCGAUGGUUCAUUCAAAUUUCUGCCCUAUCAGCUUUCGAUGGUAGGAUCGAGGCCUACCAUGGCGUUUACGGGUAACGGAGAAUUAGGGUUCGAUUCCGGAGAGGGAGCCUGAGAAACGGCUACCACAUCCAAGGAAGGCAGCAGG